CCAGAUCUCUAAUCCAUCAUGACUUUAUGUAGCUACAUUCCUUUGCUGCUUUAUAAACUCCCAAUUUUAAUCAGUUGAGAGAGAUGGAUUUGAGACUGAUCGCCUCUCUCUCUAGCUGAUGUCACCUGAAUAAAAAGCCUUCUUCCCUGGCAAUACUCAUUGUUUCAGUGAUUGGCUUUCUGUGCAGGAAGCAACAGGGUCCUCCCCUGGUACUUCAGUAACAGAUUUUGGUUUCCUGACUGGGAAUGUGUUGCUCACAGUUCACUGGCCACAGGCCAGAAGAGUUUCAGAAGACCUCCUAGGCAGCUGCCUGUCUUUGUUUUUUUGGCCAAAGGAUUAGAAAGCAAUGCUUUCCUCCAGUAUAACUUGAUGCUGUACUCUUGGCUUUUCUUGAUAACGUCUGAAUUGCUCCACGUAACCAGAAAACUUCUCAUGCUGUUCCCCUGCUCAAGUUACAGAGCUUUCACUCCUGGAUCUGAAAAUGGCACCAACUCCUACUAAAUCUUGAACAUUGACACCAGUCAAAACCUCGUCUUCAGACCCAGGAGAAGGUGACAAUCAAAGUGAACUGCUUUCAUGAGACACAGGGCCAGAAACAAACUACUGAAUCCCUCUAGGCUCAGGACUAUCAUAGAAGAAAGAGUCCACUGGAUGCUUCAGGUCUCCAGCCCAGCCCCAGGAGAGAAGUCAGUGACCCAGACCUAAGUCAACCAGUGCACAGCAUUUCCCCACAUCAGAGUCAAGAUGAAGAAGUGGGCAUGACCUAAAUCAGUUCAACCAGAAUUAAUCCCACAAGUUUUAUAGGAUCACCUGGAAAAGAGGCAGAGAGUAGUAAGUCUGUAAGGCUAGAACAGCUAUAGCAAUGCUACUGACCAUGGGGAAUUUAAUCCAGAUGAAGCAGAAAUGAGAGAUGGAGAGAAGAGAGUCCUGGUGAUCCCAUCUGAGCCCCUCCAUCAAACAUCCCUACUUGUAUUUUUCACUUUCAACUGCCAUUAAAUACUCCUUUUGCUAAGCCCAUUUUGGUUGGUUUUCUGUUACUAACCACUAAAAUUACUGGCUAUAAUGAUUUCAGAUAAGUCAGAUGUUACUAUAUGGAAAUCAAUAUUUAUCAAGCCAAUAUAAGCGUGUAUCAAUUAAUACUUCUAUCCCCAGAUUCUAUUUUCCUCUUAUACUAAACUUCAGGAAUUAUGAAUUCUUCCUGAACGUAAGACUACUAUUUUUUGUAGCUGUAACCUAAAGCACAUUGGACUAUUCCUUCUUGUCUUCUUAUAACCCCAAAAUAGGAAUUAUAAUUUCUUACUGAAAUUUCCCUAAAUUUUUUCUCACCAAAAUUUAGUUAAUUUUUCCCUAAAAUUUCUUUACUAUAUUUCACUGAAAUCUACUAUGUAGUAUUUUCUCUAGAUGAAAACUUUCCCUGAAAAUUGCAAGAAGUGAAAACAUUGGCUUUGAAAUGAUAGAUAAUUCAUAAACUAUUCUUAAGGAUUAUUCUCAGGAAUAAUUAUUUUGUCUGGCCUACAUAACCCUAAAUAGUGGUAAAAUAUACAGUAGUUUAAAACAUGGUUAGGGGCCCAAUCUAGAACAAAGAAAAACUGCCUGUGAGUAAAACAGUCAAACAUGUUUUAGACAUGUCUCGCAUCCACCAGUGUGAGUCGAGUGCAAAGGGUUACUGUAAACUGACCAGGUAUUAGCAGGUCAUCUUCAAACCCACAUCAACCCACCUCACCUCAGAGCCAGUUCUAGGACCCUCCACGGGUCAGCCUAAUUUCCCUUGGCCCAGCCCAAGCUGGCUCUUUCUCUUUGCACAGCAAUGCUCACACACCCUGGCCAAAAAAGCUUUCGAAGUAUUUCUUUUUGAAUGAGCAUAAAGUGCCUAUUGAGACCAAGAAAGCCUCCUUAUUGUGGGGUUGACCUUACCACUGUGUCCACAUUCCCCAGAGGUAUGGACAGUAGCUACAGCUGAGGAAAUGUCAUUCAGCAGUUUUUUGCGUAUGAAAUUUGAGAAAUUUGCAUGAUACAUGUGGAGCCAAUUGUUCAUAUCUAAGCAUAUUAGCUGUUUUUCUCCUGAGAACACAAAAAAGUUAUUGAGAGUGAAAAGAAGUCCCAUUGGAGGAGGGGAAACCUGAGGGGCCUCCCUGAGUACUAUUCACUGCAGGCCUCAUUUCAUUCCCAAUGACUUCUGUGGAAGCCAAUUUAAAGAAGGUCACAGGUAUUUACCUUUCUUCCCUGUCUGUUUCAAUCUGUUUUAUAGAGAAGGAGUGAAAAUGCCAAUGCCAAUGCUCAUUCUUGAGCCCUUGGUGCAUUCGUUCUGCAGAUUUUUUUAAUACAAGGGUAGACUUUUAAAACAACAAAAGAAAAUGUCAUUGGAAUAGACUUAAGCUUUACUUUGACUUAAGAUAGAUUUCAUUCCUUGGCUUAGACUGGAUUACAUUCACCUAGUCCUGUCAUUUCUUACUAAGGGAGGAGACCACCCCUCAUAGUGUAUUAUGCCCAAUUUCUGCCUCCAAAGAAAGAAGUAAAAACUAAAAGGCAGAAAUGAAAUCCACAAGCAGACAGCCCGGCACCACACCCUGGGCCUGGUAGUUAAAGAUCCACCCCUGACCUAAUCGGUUAUGUUAUCUAUAGAUUAUAGACAUUGUAUAGAAAAGCACUGUAAAAAUCCCUGUCCUGUUCUGUUCCGUUCUAGUUACCAGUGCAUGCAGCCCCCAGUCACGUACCCCCUGCUUGCUCAAUCGAUCACAACCCUCUCACACAGACCCCCUUAGAGUUGUGAGCCCUUAAAAGGGACAAGAAUUGCUCACUCAGGGAGCUCGGUUGUUGGAGACAUGAGUCUUGCCGAAGCUCCUGGCUGAAUAAAGCCCUUCCUUCU
rnacentral:lncRNA from 1 species